AUGAGAAGAGAUCGAGAGACUGCAUGGACGGAAGAGGGCCGUCUAGGCGUCGACGACGCGGAAGGAUUCCCUGUUCUUGAUGACGACGUCGUACAUGUGGACGGAGGAGAAGUGGUUGAAGUCCCUGGGGAGCGAGAUGAGGUCGAGGCAGCCGCGCUUGUGGAACUGGUACAGCGCCGGGUCCUCGUAGUAGCGCUCCCACCCCAGCGCCGUCAGCUUCGCCUCCAGCGUCGCGUACGACGACACCACCUGCCCGCUCGGCGUGUGCAGCAGCGCCUUCCGUCGCACCGUCGACGUCCGCUCGCUCCCCGGGUUCUCCACCAGGCGCACCACACCGUUCUUGAACACCCACACGCCAGACAUGGUCCACAGCCCUCCGGUCGGCCGACCUACCCCUCAACUCUCACCUUUCUAUCGGCUUAG
rnacentral:rRNA from 1 species